CAGCCGCCACGGGAAUACAUAGGUGGCAAGCGUUGUCCGGAGUUAUUGGGCGUAAAGGGCUCGCAGGCGGUUUCUUAAGUCUGAUGUGAAAGCCCCCGGCUCAACCGGGGAGGGUCAUUGGAAACUGGGAAACUUGAGUGCAGAAGAGGAGAGUGGAAUUCCACGUGUAGCGGUGAAAUGCGUAGAGAUGUGGAGGAACACCAGUGGCGAAGGCGACUCUCUGGUCUGUAACUGACGCUGAGGAGCGAAAGCGUGGGGAGCGAACAGGAUUAGAUACCCCAGUAGUCCCUGUCUCUUAUAU
rnacentral:rRNA from 1 species